rnacentral:lncRNA from 1 species
AAAAAUGGGAGCAAUAAUUCAUAAAGAUUAGGUUCUGUCUUACAGGCAAUUUUUUGGAUUCAGUGCUGACUAACAGGCACAAUCUCGAUAGAUAGGCAGCAACCAAGUCACCAAACAUGGCAGAUCCAAAAUGAAAACUACGAGGCGGUUCGGCAUUCAUAAGAAUUCAGACAUAGGGAUUUAUCAGGGGACUAGUAAACCGGACGGUCCGCAUAUGAAUUAAAAGCGGUCUCUAACUCACUCUUCGCGGCGAAUCGACCUCUCUUUCCCACCGUCUGCGUAGAUGCGAACGUAGCACGCGUCAGGCCCCACGAUCUGGAAUGUCAGCAUGUCUCCGUUCUGCACGCCGUGCUGCUCGACGAACUGCACCCAUCCGUCCGUCAGGUACAUGGAGUCGCUCCCAUUAUUCACCCGAUUCAUUCAAGCAGACCACACACCAUCUCCAGUCCAGAGCUUGAUGUACCUUGGGCACGCCCCCUCCAUUUGUUCCUCCCAGCCGCCUGGGAUCCUCAUCCACGGCAUCUGCUUUUUUUUUUGAAACCGAGGCAAAAGAUUUGCCUCAUAUAUUAAUUAAGCAGAGAAGAGGUUUUGUUACAAUAGACACCCUUACCCGGCAUGAGUGAUUACUCGCGCGAAAUAAUGACCCCUAAUUUCUUUGCCCCGGCGGUGACCCAAAGCUUUGCCUCAUUGGUAAUGGAGGCUAGUAAAAUAGGCGGUGGAGCACACUUAUGCCGGAAGACCCGUGCAUUCCUUUCGUUUCAGACGGUCCACGACACGAGCAUAGUCAUCGAGGCCAUCGCCUUUCUGUCGGGUACUCCUGUGCCGGUCAAAUUUUCCCACCAACUCUUGACUGAAGCCUCCAAAUGCCAUGAAGAGGUGUCCAAAUGCGUAAGCUGAAAUUUCUCAAUGACCAUCUUCCAAAGACGGAUGGUGUAACGACACUUGGAAAAAAGAUGAGGACCGCUCUCUUGUUCCCUUUUGCAAAGAGGGCAAAGACCACAGUUCGGCCAACCCCGCUUGGCGAGCCUAUCCGCCGUCCAGAUUCUAUCUUGGGUUGUCAACCAAGCGAAGAACUUUGCCUUUGGAGGCGCUCAAGCCUUCCAAAUCAUGUGCUCCAUGGGGGAGAGAACUAGCCCGAGAAAUUGCGCUUGAUAUGCGGAGGCGGCGGUGUAGCACCCAUCGGCCGUGUGCUUCCAUAUAAUAGAAUCCUCGGAAAGCUCAUUAAGAUGAAAGUUGUGCAAGAGCAUCUGCUUGUUUUUCACCUUGAAGCGGAAGGUGCUGUAGGAGGAUUCACCGUGGAGACGUCCAACUUCAGCAGCUG